rnacentral:rRNA from 1 species
AGAACGAACGCUGGCGGCAUGCCUAAUACAUGCAAGUCGAACGAACACUUCGGUGUUAGUGGCGCACGGGUGCGUAACGCGUGGGAAUCUGCCCUUGGGUUCGGAAUAACAGUUGGAAACGACUGCUAAUACCGGAUGAUAUCGAAAGAUCAAAGAUUUAUCGCCCAGGGAUGAGCCCGCGUAGGAUUAGCUAGUUGGUGAGGUAAAGGCUCACCAAGGCGACGAUCCUUAGCUGGUCUGAGAGGAUGAUCAGCCACACUGGGACUGAGACACGGCCCAGACUCCUACGGGAGGCAGCAGUAGGGAAUAUUGGACAAUGGGCGCAAGCCUGAUCCAGCAAUGCCGCGUGAGUGAUGAAGGCCUUAGGGUUGUAAAGCUCUUUACCGAGAUGAUAAUGACAGUAUCGGAGAAUAAGCCCCGGCUAACUCCGUGCCAGCAGCCGC